CUUUGUUGCCCAGGUGUCCUGGGCCGUUGACAGGGCCGAACCGGGCCGCAAAAACUGCAAGGUGGACAGUGUUCUUUGCCACAGGCUCUUAAGAAGAAUUCACUCACAGCAAAAGUGAACCAGCAAGAAUCUCAGAGGGCACUAUCAAAGUGGUUCAUUGGGGCCAGAGACAGAGGAGGACAAGGGGCUUCCAGAAUGCAGUCGAGACCGACAUAAGUAGUAGGCCUAAUCAGCAGCUGUUCUGUUCUUUUGUUGUUCACUGUUGUUUUAAUAUGUGCUGUAUUGAGAAUGUUGCAAAUGCUCUUUAAUGAUGCUGUUAUUAGGAAUAGCAUAUAUUCUUUUAUUAAGAAAAGCACAUAAUUAAGCUGGCCUUAUGGUUCUGAGCUGUUAAUAAGCUAUGAAAGCUUUA